rnacentral:tRNA from 1 species
CAGGGAGACAACAAAAUGUUUAAUAUUAUUAUUUUGUCACCUUAGGUCGAUCGGUAUCUCACGUUCUUAAUUAAUUAAGAAUUUCAUUUCCUAAGUUUUUCUAGGUCACACCCAUUAUUUUUCCUGGGCCAUUAGCUCAGGUGGUUAGAGCGCACCCCUGAUAAGGGUGAGGUCCCUGGUUCAAGUCCAGGAUGGCCCAUAUCUCUAUGUUGGGGGUAUAGCUCAGUUGGUAGAGCGCCUGCUUUGCAAGCAGGAUGUCAGCGGUUCGAGUCCGCUUACCUCCACUGAUUACCACCUCUUCCAUAAUCUUUAGAAAGGAAAUGUUUUGAGUCGUGAUCAAAUUCUGAACGAAUCUAGCUUCCUAAUGAAAGCAUUAAGAUGCUGGACUCAUUGAAUUCAUUUCAUUGUUUUCAGAGAACCUUGACAACUGCAUAGAUUAUUUUUUUAAAGACAAUAAGCAUCUUUAAUGAUGCAGAUUUUUUAUUUGUGCGAAUGCAUUAAUAACAAUUCUAUUAAGCUGAUGCUUCAAUUUUGAAGUUAUU